rnacentral:rRNA from 1 species
AACGAACGCUGGCGGCAGGCUUAACACAUGCAAGUCGAGCGCCCCGCAAGGGGAGCGGCAGACGGGUGAGUAACGCGUGGGAAUCUACCCAUCUCUACGGAGUAACGCAUGGAAACGUGUGCUAAUACCGUAUACGUCCUUCGGGAGAAAGAUUUAUCGGAGAUGGAUGAGCCCGCGUUGGAUUAGCUAGUUGGUGGGGUAAAGGCCUACCAAGGCGACGAUCCAUAGCUGGUCUGAGAGGAUGAUCAGCCACACUGGGACUGAGACACGGCCCAGCCUCCUACGGGAGGCAGCAGUGGGGAAUAUUGGACAAUGGGCGAAAGCCUGAUCCAGCCAUGCCGCGUGAGUGAUGAAGGCCCUAGGGUUGUAAAGCUCUUUCACCGGUGAAGAUAAUGACGGUAACCGGAGAAGAAGCCCCGGCUAACUUCGUGCCAGCCGCCGCAGUAACAC